UAGGGAAUCUUCCACAAUGGGCGAAAGCCUGAUGGAGCAACGCCGCGUGGGUGAAGAAGGUCUUCGGAUCGUAAAACCCUGUUGUUAGAGAAGAAAGUGCGUGAGAGUAACUGUUCACGUUUCGACGGUAUCUAACCAGAAAGCCACGGCUAACUACGUGCCAGCAGCCGCGGUAAUACGUAGGUGGCAAGCGUUAUCCGGAUUUAUUGGGCGUAAAGGGAACGCAGGCGGUCUUUUAAGUCUGAUGUGAAAGCCUUCGGCUUAACCGGAGUAGUGCAUUGGAAACUGGGAGACUUGAGUGCAGAAGAGGAGAGUGGAACUCCAUGUGUAGCGGUGAAAUGCGUAGAUAUAUGGAAGAACACCAGUGGCGAAAGCGGCUCUCUGGUCUGUAACUGACGCUGAGGUUCGAAAGCGUGGGUAGCAAACAG
rnacentral:rRNA from 1 species